rnacentral:rRNA from 1 species
AACGAACGCUGGCGGCAUGCCUAACACAUGCAAGUCGAACGAGACCUUCGGGUCUAGUGGCGCACGGGUGCGUAACGCGUGGGAACCUGCCCUUAGGUUCGGAAUAACUCCCCGAAAGGGGUGCUAAUACCGGAUAAUGUCUUCGGACCAAAGAUUUAUCGCCUUUGGAUGGGCCCGCGUUGGAUUAGCUAGUUGGUAGGGUAAAAGCCUACCAAGGCGACGAUCCAUAGCUGGUCUGAGGGGAUGAUCAGCCACACUGGGACUGAGACACGGCCCAGACUCCUACGGGAGGCAGCAGUGGGGAAUAUUGGACAAUGGGCGAAAGCCUGAUCCAGCAAUGCCGGGUGAGUGAUGAAGGCCUUAGGGUUGUAAAGCUCUUUUACCCGGGAUGAUAAUGACAGUACCGGGAGAAUAAGCUCCGGCUAACUCCGUG